UUGCAGCUACGGCGACAUGGUGCCAGAGACAAUAGCUGGCAAAAUUGUGGGCGGCGUCUGCUCGCUCAGCGGUGUGCUGGUCAUCGCCUUACCUGUACCUGUUAUCGUAUCGAAC
rfam:Drosophila ananassae strain TSC#14024-0371.13 Ctg01_19362, whole genome shotgun sequence.